rnacentral:tRNA from 1 species
GCCGGGGUAGCCUAGCCAGGCUAAGGCGGCGGCCUCGAGAGCCGCUGGCCCUUACGGGCCGCGUGGGUUCGAAUCCCACCCCCGGCGCCA